CCCCCACUGUAUAGCUGUAGCUGCCCUUCAGACCCGCUCCUUGUGACACAGGCAGUUGACAACAUCCCAAAGCACUUUAAAAGCACUCCUCAAUUUCCAUGCAAAAGCAUCCUCUUUAAAACGAAGCUGAGAGCUAAAGAAACGCUGCAAGAUCCACGGAAUCCAGCGUGGUGUCCAAGGUGACCAGUGUCUGUUGCAGUGCCAGGUCCCUGGGAAAAGGCCCGCUGAAACCCAGCUGUUUCACAUGUCUACGCUGCGGAUUUGGCCAGAAAAUGUGGCCACGUGUGCUGGUUUGUGUACCGAGGACAAAAACUGAAUUUGAGGAGGUGACCAGUUUUUUUUUCUUUCCUUAAUUUUUGUUUUUUUUUUUCUUGUUGAGGGAUUACAAAACAAACUUUCUUCUUCUCCAAACCAAUUUCUUGUCUCACUUACUGCCCAUUCCAAAACCUGUUUGCAUGCAUAUGAAUAUAUGACUGUGCUUCUGCCUGCACUUUUUAAUGUAUUAAUGUUCAUGUUGGACCUGGGACUGUCUCUGUGUGCAGGACAUGGGCUGGCCUUGCACCCCAAGGUACGCGGUUCUGUCCAGCAGCUGCAGGGAGGAAUGCGCUGUUGGUGUAGAUGCAGGAGUCAAAGACCCACACGUUCCUCCCAGAUUUCACCCUCCAUUACCCCCAUCGAGAUGUUCUGUCACCCCAUCGGGAUGACGGUUAACAGUGAUGGAGGGAGAACUCAGGCAAGGCUGCACCCCUAUGUCUCAUUGGAUUGUCACAUGUAUGAUGUCAGCAGGCGUUGUCCUUCACUCCCUUCCUCCCAUCCUGCCUGGAAGGACGUGCUGAGCCAGGCGACAGAUUGGCAAACAGGACCUCCACAUAUAAAUAUCUCUUUAAAACAACAUUUAUUAUACAUCUGUGUUUCUAUUUGUAUAUAUUUGUUCAUAUACAUUUUUGUGUGUGGCUGUGUGACUUAAUAGGCUGACAGUUUAAAGCCUCUCUUUUUCUGACUGUCUUUUGUCCAAAGAGUCACAAAGAUGAAUUAGUCGAGUAAACAGGUGUGUGAGUCGACUGAGAAGUGUGUUUAAACUUGCACCCAGUGAACUAUGAAAAGAAGCAGGCACUUGCUUCAUGCCGUCAUUGCUUUUCUUCCUUC
rnacentral:lncRNA from 1 species